rnacentral:rRNA from 1 species
UACGAAGGGGGCCAGCGUUGUUCGGAAUUACUGGGCGUAAAGGGCGCGUAGGCGGCCUUGUCAGUCAGAAGUGAAAGCCCCGGGCUCAACCUGGGAAUUGCUUUUGAUACUGCAAGGCUAGAGUUUCGUAGAGGAUGGUGGAAUUCCCAGUGUAGAGGUGAAAUUCGUAGAUAUUGGGAAGAACACCGGUGGCGAAGGCGGCCAUCUGGACGAACACUGACGGUGAGGCGCGAAAGCGUGGGGAGCAAACAGG